CCUUCUAACAAGCCAUCCCACCUCAGGAUGUGCCAUGUCAGCAACCCCCUUCCAAUCAACGCGUUUGUUUCUAGCCGUAAUAGACCAUCAAAGCCCAUCCUCCCUCCCUCGAAAAAAAAGAAAAAAAAGAAAGCUUUUCAGUAGUAGUCGAAGGCCAGCAGCCCCUUCUGUUGCUCCACCUUCAGAAACAAUUAAUUUUCUGGAUCAACCAUUUUCUUCGGUUGCCCCUUAAUCUUCAAUCUUCUCUUCAUCCUCCCGAUGAUUCUUCUUCCUAUGUGUCUCAUCAUUCCUAAAUAUUCUAGCGUGUACCUACACAAAUCUGAAGGAGAUUUUGUUGCCUGAUUUCUUUUAGUUUUUUCAAAUCUGCGAGGAGGACGAACAGACCCACCCUUGCUCUCUGCUCGAGGUUUAUGAGGAGUAGGAGGAGCACAUUCGUAUUUGUGUCGUUCCUCUUCCGCCGAGGUUCAUCAUGCAACUGUACAAAUGAUCUAAUUGUCCCUGAUGCCAUCCACCGAGUCGUAGAUGCCUAUGCUGGAACUGUAACUGCAUCGGCCUGGCUCUGUCCUUCCGCCUAAGGGUGGAGUGGUGGACACUGGUCCGCUGGUGAAUGGAUUUUACAGGCCGCACUCUAGCCCGGGCUGGACCUAGAGGACCGGCCAACCAUCACCGGCGGCGACGUUCGCCAGCGCCGUGGCGAGGUGGGCGACGUGCGCGGACGCGGGCGGCGAGGUGGGCGCGCCCUGCUGCUACUGCUGGUCGUGCACGUGCACGCGGCUGGUCGUGUCGUAUUGCUGCCGGCCGUGCCCUGCUACUGUUGGCCAUGGACGUGCUGGCCGUGCGCUGCCGGCCAUGCCCUGCUGCUGCUGGCCAUACAUGCCAUGGCGCCGUGCCCUACUACUGCCGCACCGCGUGCGUGGGCCUACUGCGUUACACAAUACAGAUAUAUGUUCUCCUGGGUUUGUUCUCCUGGGAGCAUGUGACUGCUAAAAUCACCCCACAUACACUACAUAUUGCCUUGCUGUCAUGGCCUUGCCUUCGCCUGGAGAUAUCGCAGUUUUCACAUCAUGUUGGUA